GAUGAACGCUGGCGGCGUGCCUAAUACAUGCAAGUCGAGCGAAUGGAUUAAGAGCUUGCUCUUAUGAAGUUAGCGGCGGACGGGUGAGUAACACGUGGGUAACCUGCCCAUAAGACUGGGAUAACUCCGGGAAACCGGGGCUAAUACCGGAUAACAUUUUGAACCGCAUGGUUCGAAAUUGAAAGGCGGCUUCGGCUGUCACUUAUGGAUGGACCCGCGUCGCAUUAGCUAGUUGGUGAGGUAACGGCUCACCAAGGCAACGAUGCGUAGCCGACCUGAGAGGGUGAUCGGCCACACUGGGACUGAGACACUGCCCAGACUCCUACGGGAGGCAGCAGUAGGGAAUCUUCCGCAAUGGACGAAAGUCUGACGGAGCAACGCCGCGUGAGUGAUGAAGGCUUUCGGGUCGUAAAACUCUGUUGUUAGGGAAGAACAAGUGCUAGUUGAAUAAGCUGGCACCUUGACGGUACCUAACCAGAAAGCCACGGCUAACUACGUGCCAGCCGCCGCGGUAAAAC
rnacentral:rRNA from 1 species